UGUAGAUCACUUGUAGGGUGUUGGAUCCCCUGGUACUAAAGUAAUGGAGGGUUGUGAGCCACCAUGUGGGUACUGGGAACUGAACUUGGGUCUUCUGGGAGAACACAUGCUCACAACCAUUGAGCCAUCUUUCUAACCCCAUGGAUUAUCUUUAAAAAUGGUAGCAAUGUUGAAUUACUUAGAGAAGUAACUCCUUUUUUAAAUUUAUGAAAUCUUUGCAGUAUAUAUCUUUAUCUUUCUGUUUUGGAGAAGCAUCAGCAUUACUGGGGAGAUACACAGGCAGCUAUGUAGAGAGGGACCAAAGAAAAAGGGAAUGCUGUUGACUCUGGGUGUUUCUUGUCUAGGAGACUGACUGGGUUUUGUAGACUAAAGAGAAUCUCCCUCCCACUUCUUUUUCCCUUUCUCUUUCUUACCUUAACUUCCCUCCUACCGUCUUGCUUGUCCUACUUAACCAUCCACUGUUUAUCCUUUGCUCAUAUUUUACUACUACAUUCAUAUAACUAUAGUCUUCUAUGAGUGGCUUAUUUUAUUGAGGUGUGUUCUUGUUUUUGCCUUGUGUAGACCAGGUUGGUCUUGAACUCACAGAGAUCUUCCUGCCUCUGCCUCCAAGACAUGCUGCCACACCUGGUGAGUUCUCUUUUUUAAGGUAGGUUCAUUUAUGAUACUCUAUGGUGUGUAUGACAGUCUUGCCUCUUUUAUGGUUGAGCAAUGAUCCAUUAUUGAAUCAACUGUGUCCAUUGGUUUGUUGAUGGAUUUUUUUGGUUGAUUACUCUUUAUUGGCUAUUUUGAAUGUUGCUGCUGAAAACUUUCAUGUUCUGUUUCAGGAGAGCCAGUGUUAUUUUCAAAGAAAUCGACAGCUUUUUGUUUGUCGGUUUUUUUUUUUUUCCCCUUUGUUUGAUUUUUUUGAGAAGGUUGUCUCGGAUUGGUCUGUAGAUCCGGCAGCCUCAAACUCACAGAAAGCUACCUGCCUCUGAGUGCCUUUGUGUACCAUUGCAGCUUUAACAUGAUAAAGCUUAAGUGAUAUCUGUCGUGGCCUAUCCUUUUAAAAAUCAAUAUUAGAAUAUAAAUGAGAUUCAUCUAGAGAUGUGUUUUCAUACCAUAUUAAUUCUGAUACAGAGCACUGUUCUUGAAAGAUUAAAACCCUUCCAGUAUGAACAAGAAUAAGAACCUUUAGAUAGUUGAGGAAUUUAUUAAUGUUUUGGUUAAGCAUAGAUAAUUUUGUUGUCUUCUUUGUGUAGCCUGCACUUAGUCUUUUAACCACAAGAUGGUGGCCUUCUUCCAGGCAGGCUGAUUCAAGGUGGAGUUUUCUUAGGAAAGCAGGGACUGAAUUUCAUGUUCAUGCAUAUGCACCGCUAUUUAUUUAUUCAUUUAUUCAUUCAUUUAGUUCUGUCAGUGGGUCUCACUGUAUUGGCCUGGCACUUGCUCAGUAGACCAGGCUGGCCUUGAACUCACAGUAUUGGGAUUGAACAAAGGCCUGCACCACCACUUCCCGCCCAGAACUAUCUCUUUAAAGUUUACAGCUUCAGUAGGAGGACCUGUGGGAGGCAGGAGGGAGAAAGAGGUUGUAAUUUGGAGUGGGGAUUCGAUGGCAUGCUGCCUUCUCACAAGGAGGUGUUGAUUUGACUGGAUAUUGUGAGGGUCAUGGGUAAUCAUAGCUGCUCUGAUGUCAAGACAACAGUGGCCCGGUCUUGUUCAGAGGAAAGUGUUCUAUAAGCUCAGUCCCCUCUAGCUCUUACAUUGUAUCUGUUUUCUCUUCCAUGAUGUUUCCUGAGCUUUGGAGAGGGUGAGGUAGAUGUAUGAUUAUUUUAUCUCUUUUAGGGCUGAGCAGUGGUUCACUCUGUUCCAGCAAUAGUCACUUACUCUUGAGCAAUUGACCUGUUAGGAAUCUCCACAGUAAUGCCACUUACUGCAAAAACAAGCUUUCUUGACUGAGGCCUAGAGCAGCAGUAAUCUAUGCAUAUGUAAGCAUAAAUGUUUAGAAGAAUUGAAAGCUCUCUUUUGUAUAAAUCCUUUUAAAUAAAGAUAAAAAAAUUA